AUGGCGACGCUGCAGCUGAACCACAUCGCGCGGGAGACCGGCGACGUGCGGGGCCUGGCCGCCUUCUACGAGGAGGUGCUGGGCUUCGAGCGCGUCCCGGCCCCGGCCUACUCCGGCUUCCAGGUCGCCUGGCUCCGCCUCCCGGGCUCCCCCGACGUCGCGCUCCACAUCAUCGAGCGCGACCCGGCCGUCGCCGUCGCCGUUGCCCCGGGGGCCGCGCAGGGGGUCGGCACGCCCGCGCAGCUGCCCAGGCGGCACCACCUCGCCUUCUCCGUGGCCGACUUCGACGGGUUCCUCACCGGGCUCAGGACCCGCGGCACCCAGCUGUUCGAGAAGUCCCAGCCCGACGGCCGCACGCGCCAGGUCUUCUUCUUCGACCCCGACGGCAAUGGUCUAGAAGUUACAAGCUCGAGCCCAGGCGAUAAGUAA
rnacentral:rRNA from 1 species